GGAAACUCCUCGGAGGGUAUGAGGGAGUUGAGACUUGGGGUAGCGAAGGUGUGUGGUGCCAAUAAGUCUAUGGUUAGUCUUUGUUUAAGGGAAGAUUCCCUUGUGACAAUACCAAUGUGUUUGUGUUUUGUGCCAUGCUGUAAAUGGUGGAGAUUGGAAAACCCAAGUAAAAACCCCUCUGCAAAUCUUGGCUAUGAGUGUGUUUACAGCCGACGGUUCUGUUGUGCUGACUGUAAGUGA